AUCUAACUGACGAGUCCAAAAUAGGACGAAACAUGCAUCUUGAAU
rnacentral:hammerhead_ribozyme from 1 species